GUGCUCGCUCCAGCUGCACAUAUAAUAAAAUUGGAACCAUACAGAGAAGAUUAGCAUGGCCCCUGCGCAAGGAUGACACACAAACGCAUGAAGUGUUCCAUAUUUUU